CCUGCACUCAAGGUGAAAGGUCGACGAAAACACAAAAUGUUCAAUAACUUUUGAUUUGCAAUACACAAUCGGAUAAAUGAAUCGAUUCGCAUGAAAUACCGUCGUACCGACGAACCGAUUCAUAUUAUGCGCGCACCGUGUACGUGAAACGUAACACGUCGUAACGAUAACGCUAUCACGAACGUAGUUCGCAGCCAAUGAAAACCGUCGAUUUCCUACGGGCAACGUACACGCGCGGCAUACAUAACGUCAGCCGCAAUGUACGUGUACGACACGUCGUGAUCGCCGUACAGUGAAUGCUCGCGGUGCACGUUGACAGCCUGGAGUGAAGUACGCAACAGAAACGAGACCGUUGCAACGCCACUGGUAGUCUCGACGCGCUGCCGUUUUCCACGUAACACCGAGCAACGACAGAGUUCUUAUAGAUUCACAAUGAUGUAUUCACCUGAACUCGAAUCCUUUUACGGGAAGUGUAUACUGUGGUUAGUCGUUCUAAUUGCCUACUGCAUUUUUACUAAAAAAAUGCUGUAUGAUAAGAAUUAUAUAGAUGAAAAUGAACUUCAAAGUGUGGAGUGUGGUGACGACAAGCGUCUUUUGGUUCCAGAAUAUUAGUCCCAUAUCUAUUAUAUAAAUUAUUAAAAUGUAACAAUUUUUUUUUUUUUUUUUUUUUUGCUCCUAUUGUUUCUAAGUUGUG